rnacentral:lncRNA from 1 species
UGUGGUUUAUAUUACUAUAAUUUAAAAUCAAACCAAUCGGAUAAAGAAACCGAGUCGUUACAAUUCUUCCCCACUUAAUCGGAAUUCGUCCCGAAUUCCAAGACGGAACCCGAGAAUAACUUCAAUAGCUACGAAAGAAAUAAUAUAAAAACAAACAAUGGAAACAAACUUAACUUGGUCUUCUCCUGCAAAGAAAAAAAAAUCAGAAACACUAAGAACUAGCCGAAUGAUACUGGAAACAUUGAAAACCGUUGAAAU